AGCGAACGCUGGCGGCAGGCUUAACACAUGCAAGUCGAGCGCCGUAGCAAUACGGAGCGGCAGACGGGUGAGUAACACGUGGGAACGUGCCUUUUGGUUCGGAAUAACUCAGGGAAACUUGAGCUAAUACCGAAUAAGCCCUUCGGGGGAAAGAUUUAUCGCCGAAAGAUCGGCCCGCGUAAGAUUAGCUUGUUGGUGAGGUAACGGCUCACCAAGGCUACGAUCUUUAGCUGGUCUGAGAGGAUGAUCAGCCACACUGGGACUGAGACACGGCCCAGACUCCUACGGGAGGCAGCAGUGGGGAAUAUUGGACAAUGGGCGCAAGCCUGAUCCAGCCAUGCCGCGUGAGUGAUGAAGGCCUUAGGGUUGUAAAGCUCUUUUAGCGGAGACGAUAAUGUCGGUAUCCGCAGAAAAAGCCCCGGCCAACUUCGUGCCAGCCGCCGCCGUAAAAC
rnacentral:rRNA from 1 species